rnacentral:rRNA from 1 species
AUGGUUCCGUGUAGCAGAAUAUGUUUAAAUUUUUCGGGUGUCUGUGACAAGAGGGGAGGACUACUUUGCAAUCUCAACGUAGCCCGUUCAUCAGAGACAACAUCUCUGUGGGCGCCUCCGUGCGCUCUUUGGGCAGCUCGGAGCCAUGCUGUCAGAGCUCUUCACCAACUGGACCAUCUACACCAACAAGGCGGCGGUGCUGGUGACGCUGUUGUUCGUGAUCGCGGUCAACCUGGCGAUCGGCAUCCUGCCGCACAUGAUGCGCCCGACGCCAUGGAGUACCUCACGGCGUGCUCGCCUCCCCCAGCAUCCCGAUCUCAACGAGCCUAG